UACUACAAACUAGUCCAUCAUACCAAAAGCCACAUGCUGGAAAAGACAAAGCAAAUGAGAAGAAAAGCGCUUAUGGAAAAGUGCUUACAGUAACGUAAUGCGCUCCUUCACAUCGUCGUCUCCAUCGCAUCCCUCACCUCAUCGACUUCAGAUGUAAAAGCGUUAUCUACGGCUUCUUCCUCGUCAUCCUUGCAUGCUAACCUAUCUGUCACGGAUGCACUCCCCUCACGCCAGCGCCCGUCGGCGACACGCCAUCCGAUUCGCAGCUAAUCACCUUGCUCGCUCGAAUCACGCAAUUGUACAAACAAAGAUCGAUGACGUCGAAUCGCGACGUCAACACAGUAUAAGCCGAUCGCGACUGAGCGACAAGAGGAGAGAUUACGACUGGAAUUCGCCGACGCUUCCGCUAGAAUGACGCCGCUAGGUAACAGGUUUGUCGUGGAUACCGUUUGAUUUUGGAGGUUCACUCGGAUUUGCAGAUGAUGCAACUGAAUGGAACUGCGGCAAGCGGAAACGAGAGGCUUCGAUGUGGAAUAGCGGAAUAUCAAUGGAAGAACUGAAGGUUGAGUUGCGGAAGUUGAAGGUUGAUUACGGUUUUCUGUUGGCGAUGGCGGUUAUGGAGGAUUGAAGGUGAGGUUGCAGAAGAGGACGAUGUUGAUGGAGAUCGGAGCUUGGUGAAGGUUUUGGUUGAAGGAUUGAGAGCUUGUGAUGAAGUUUGGAAGAAGAAGAUUGAAACAGAAUUGUUGCAGAGAUUUGGAGAGUGAAGAAUGAAGAAGAGGAAAAUAGAAUGAAGAUGUGGAAGCCUUGAGAGAGGUGAAGAUUGAUGAAUUUAUAGAGUGAUGGAGAGUGAGAUUAGAAGUUUGUUUUUCUGUUAUUCAAUUUCUUUUGCCGCUCUUUAUGCAGGUUAUUCAGUUGCGUUCAUUUUUGAGCUUGAUGUUGCGUUUUGGCUGUUUGUAGUUUUGUUUGGUUUUCAAGUUGCUUUUGGCUUGUACUUCGUGUGUAGCUCGUAUUGUACUUGGCUUAGCAACUUUCAUUUCCUUGUACUGUACCGUAGCUUGUACCGUGUUUUCCUCUUGUAGCUUGUACCAGCUUUUGAAGCUUGUUCAUUCUGCAUUUCUUUUCA